UCUUUAGCCUUCCCACGAGCAUUAGAUUCCUUUCUAAGCUUAGGUCUCUUGACUUGAGUUUGUGCGAAAGGCUUCAGCAAUUGCCAGAUCUUCCAUCAAAGAGAUCCUUUUUACUGAUAAAUGUAGACGAUUGUACUUCCUUAAGAAGGUUGUCAGAUCCAUCAAAGUUGAGCGAAGGAGCCAAUGUGUAUGAUUUUGAGUUCACUUGUCUUAAUUGCUUCAAAUUGGUUGAAGAAGAAGGCUGGAUUAAUCGAAUAUUUGCAAUGAUAAUGAGAUUGACCGCCCCUAACUAUUACUCUGAGGGAAUUUUAUGGCCUGCAAGUGAAAUUCCAGAGUGCUUCAGUAAUCAAAGUGUGGGAGAUUCAAUAACUGUGGAGCUGCCUCUUUCUCCACCUCCACAAUCAUUAUGUAGCAGUGAUUGGGCUGGGAUUGCUUUAUGUGUUGUUUUGGAAGAUUCUGAAUAUUUGCGAAAUCUAACCGCCCUUGUUGGAUAUGAUUAUUUCAAAAUUCAAUGUUUGCGGGGUCCGAAUGUGAAUUUUAGAGUUGGGCAUCUAAGGUCACAACAUCUUUGGGUUUUUUAUUUGCCUCGCCAUCAUCCUAGCCUCAGGGAUGCCUCGAGCAGUCAUCGGUUUUCAUUCGAAGUACAUUAUGGUGCAUACAAAUCUUCCAAAAGACUCAAAACAAGCUCGAAUAUAAAGGAAUGUGGGGCCCGUUUUCUGUACAAGAGAGAUUUGGAAGAAUUCAGCGGAAUACAAAAAAUCCCAAAGCCCAAUUGGAAAUCAGCACUUUAUGCAGACAGGCCCAAUUGGUAGUAGUGGACCGUAGGAUUGGGAUUUUGAGCCAAUUAGCAAAAGAUUCAACGAAGUCUAAAUUAUUUUGUGCUUGGUUCAAUCAUUCAAUGAUGUCAGUCCGCAGAAUUCAUCUCAUUCUCUGGAAAAGAAUUGGCAAAGCCAGAGUUGAAGUACUGGGAAUACCAUCCAAGUUCCAUGUAGCUGGUUGCUGUGUGAACUCUGAUCACUUCUGAGGAGACCAAUGACAUUGUCGAUUUUGAAGUCAUUGAUGCGUUGGGUCCAAGGGGUGUUCAGCAUUGGAAGAGGCCUUCAUGUUGAUGAACCUGAGUGUGUGCACCGUGCAUUGCUGGAUGGUUUCUGCUGAAAUGUUGGGGAAAAAACUGUGCAUGCUUUGACGAUGGCAUUCAACAAGUUUCAAAUCGAGCGUAAGAUUCACCCAAAAGAGAUGCAAAGUUGUUGUAUAUGUCCAUAACCAUGAGUUGGUCAAUUCAGUUAAUGAUGAGGAAAAGCAAGCAAUGUAUUGAUGGUGGCUACUAUUUAAAUUGCUGUGUCAGGUUUUAUUGUUUUCAGAAUGAACAGAUAAUGUACAAAUGCUUGAGACUAUGACAAUCAUGAUAUCUAAAUGAAGCAUUUAGAAUGUAAU